rnacentral:rRNA from 1 species
UUGUUGAUUGGCCAUCACGUAAGCUCACUUGUAAUUUAUUACAGUGUGGUAUUAUCUUAGCCAUUCCCUUUUAGUUGUGGAGUGAUUAACCACUCUAAAUUGUAACUCGGGGGACCGCUGUGAUUUUUCUUCAAACCGGAGGAAGGUUGCGGCAAUAACAGGUCUGUGAUGCCCUCAGAUGUCCUGGGCUGCACACGUGCUACACUGAUCCCGGCAGUUGGCAUGUGAUUUUCUCCAAUGACGAACCUAGUGGACUUGGCGUCUGUGCGCAUUCGUGUGCUAAUGACUGCCGUCACUUUAAACACUGGUCGUUAGACUCGUGCGAUCCCUCGGAAAACGUGAUUUCUGUUCCCAAACAAAGCACUUUCGUACCCUCGCUCAAACAAACGUGAUUCCAAAUCCCUUACGAUUGCUACAUCCUUUCUCGUAACGUCUCGCCUAGCGGAGCUUUCAACUUUUCGUCGCAACUCUCAAUUCACAGUGGGGACAGUCGUUUGUCAACUUUUCGUCUCGGUCCCAACUAGGAAUGCCUCGUACGAGUUGGUUCAUCAGACCACUCGGAAUACGUCCCUGCCCUUUGUACACACCGCCCGUCGCUUUUACCGAUGAACUUUUUUGCGAGUAUGAUGGACUAACUUUGCGCUCAAUUUGAAUCUGUUGUGGAAAUUCACUCGAACAACGGGAUUUAAAG